UGUUUUAGCUCGGAAUUGGGAUGCUCAUCCUUCUAUAUUCCCAACAUGAUUAAUUACUUUGCGCAUGUUUCGAGCCCACGUGAAUGAAUCCACGUGUUCUGCGCUGGAUCUUCUCCAACUUUUGCUUGGUGCUUGAAUGUUCAUAUUAAUUAAAGAAAAUAAAAGUAUUUCUUCCCUAAAAAAAUUGGAACGCCAACAGUCCCACAGAGAAUACAAAGGCUUUCGGAGCUCAACUUUGUCUGCCUCAAAUAAGAGAGAAUCAACAUCCGUACGUGGUUACGCUUCCUUCUUUGCGCUUAGUCAUCAUUCUAUAUGAGUGUUGGUUCAUCUGUCCGACCAAAGUCAUGAAAAGCUGCCACGUCGCUACGUAAAUCAAUAAAAAAAAGGGCCUAUUUUGACGUUUGUUUGUUUUUGUUGGAUGCAUCUUUUUAUUGACACGUAUUUGUUGCUUCCAUCCACGUCGCUAUGCAUCAUUCACUUCUUCUCUCUGUCUCUUCUAUUACUGGAUUUCUUUCAAAGUUCAUAUAUUCUGAGAGUGAGUUUUCUAGCUGUUCUAAAUGAGAUCACAUUGGGUGGUAUAGCUGCAAUUUUAAUCCCUGGUACAUUCUGUGUUGCGACUGAAAAGACUAAUGUAUUUGACCUUGUGCAAUUCUAUUCUUUUAAGUAUCUUCAAUUUGCUUUAAUGUACCCCUGUCAAAACUCAAAUGGGUGCAAUAAUGGUGUGAAUACUUGGUGAAAAUUCUUCAAACUACUCUGUUAAUUUGCAGAAAGUUCGACGCACCCGCGUUUUAUGCGCAUCUAUACGUAAUGCGUGCCAUAUUCAUAUAUCCUCAAUUUCAUUGCUUGCACGGUAAAGAAGUUUCAACCUGAAAAUAUCUAUCAUUGUUCAGAAAUUCCAAAAUUCAAAAGCUAUAUCCCUGUUUUAAACUUUUCUAGAAAACUUCAUGUAAUAUUGUGCAAAAUAUAUGUAACAUACAGUAAAAUGUGUUAAUGUUGGUAUUUAUUUUAA